GUCACUUUAAUUUGAUGAAAACAGUAAGCAUUAAACAUGUUUAAAUAUGGAAUUUUAUGAGUUUAGCCAUUCCAGUUUAAAAUAUUAAAUAAUAUAUGGAAAUAUAAUUUAGACAGUUUGUUAAAUUAGGUUUAUUAGGUGCCAGCAACCGCGGUCAUACCUAAUAAUUAAGUUUACAACAGAUAUUAAAUGAUUCAAAUUAACGUUAAUGAAUAUGAUAAUAUAUAGUGAAAUACUAUUUCAUAUUUGCUACUCUUAAAACUUAUAAGAAAGAGAUCCACAACUAAAACUAGGAUUAGAAACCCUACUAUUAUGGAUUAUUAAUUAUUUACUAAGAAGUAAAAUACAAAUUUUAAACUUAAAUGUUAUGGCGGCUAAUCAAAACAAUUAGGGGAACUUACCAUAUAAUUGAUAACCACCAAGCAUAAUUAUACUUACUAUAAUAAUUUGUAUACCGUUGUCUUCAUGAACCCCCCGAGGGGGUUCAUAAAAAUAUCACUUAUUCUAAGAUAAAUCAAGGUGCAGUCAACUUAGUAAGAAAUAAGGUGAGUUACAUUAAAAUAUUUUUUCGGAUUAUAUUAUGAAAUAAAUUAUUAAGACGGACUUAAAAGUACUAUUUAAAUUAACAAAUAUAUUAUGAAUAUGUGUUGCUUAGUGUA
rnacentral:ncRNA from 1 species